rnacentral:misc_RNA from 1 species
AUUCAAAUUUAAAUAAUAAUUAAUUCUCAUGAAACAGUGCAAUUCAUUAGAAAAUUUCUGAUAAAAAAAUCUUAUAAAGGGAAAAUGAAAAUUGGAAAACUGGACAAGUGAAUGUGUUUUCUGGUUUUCCAAUUUUUUACUUGGAAAAUGAAAAUUGGGAGAAAACUGGAAAAUGGAAAGAUAUGUGUUUUCAACAACUAAACAAGGCCUUAAAGUUUCA